AGUACGGCGGAACACGUGAAAUUCCGUCGGAAUCUGGGAGGACCAUCUCCCAAGGCUAAAUACUCCCUAGUGAUCGAUAGUGAACCAGUACCGUGAGGGAAAGGUGAAAAGCACCCCGGAAGGGGAGUGAAAGAGAUCCUGAAACCGUGUGCCUACAAAUAGUCAGAGCCCGUUAAUGGGUGAUGGCGUGCCUUUUGUAGAAUGAACCGGCGAGUUACGAUCCCGUGCGAGGUUAAGCUGAAGAGGCGGAGCCGCAGCGAAAGCGAGUCUGAAUAGGGCGUUUAGUACGUGGUCGUAGACCCGAAACCAGGUGAUCUACCCAUGUCCAGGGUGAAGUUCAGGUAACACUGAAUGGAGGCCCGAACCCACGCACGUUGAAAAGUGCGGGGAUGAGGUGUGGGUAGCGGAGAAAUUCCAAUCGAACCUGGAGAUAGCUGGUUCUCCCCGAAAUAGCUUUAGGGCUAGCCUUAAGUGUAAGAGUCUUGGAGGUAGAGCACUGAUUGAACUAGGGGUCCUCAUCGGAUUACCGAAUUCAGUCAAACUCCGAAUGCCAAUGACUUAUCCUUAGGAGUCAGACUGCGAGUGAUAAGAUCCGUAGUCAAGAGGGAAACAGCCCAGAUCGCCAGCUAAGGUCCCAAAGUGUGUAUUAAGUGGAAAAGGAUGUGGAGUUGCUUAGACAACUAGGAUGUUGGCUCAGAAGCAGCCACCAUUUAAAGAGUGCGUAAUAGCUCACUAGUCGAGUGACUCUGCGCCGAAAAUGUACCGGGGCUAAAUACACCACCGAAGCUGCGAAUUGAUACCAAUGGUAUCAGUGGUAGGGGAGCGUUCUAAGUGCAGUGAAGUCAGACCGGAAGGACUGGUGGAGCGCUUAGAAGUGAGAAUGCCGGUAUGAGUAGCGAAAGACGGGUGAGAAUCCCGUCCACCGAAUGCCUAAGGUUUCCUGAGGAAGGCUCGUCCGCUCAGGGUUAGUCAGGACCUAAGCCGAGGCCGACAGGCGUAGGCGAUGGACAACAGGUUGAUAUUCCUGUACCACCUCUUUAUCGUUUGAGCAAUGGAGGGACGCAGAAGGAUAGAAGAAGCGUGCGAUUGGUUGUGCACGUCCAAGCAGUUAGGCUGAUAAGUAGGCAAAUCCGCUUAUCGUGAAGGCUGAGCUGUGAUGGGGAAGCUCCUUAUGGAGCGAAGUCUUUGAUUCCCCGCUGCCAAGAAAAGCUUCUAGCGAGAUAAAAGGUGCCUGUACCGCAAACCGACACAGGUAGGCGAGGAGAGAAUCCUAAGGUGUGCGAGAGAACUCUGGUUAAGGAACUCGGCAAAAUGACCCCGUAACUUCGGGAGAAGGGGUGCUUUCUUAACGGAAAGCCGCAGUGAAUAGGCCCAAGCGACUGUUUAGCAAAAACACAGGUCUCUGCGAAGCCGUAAGGCGAAGUAUAGGGGCUGACACCUGCCCGGUGCUGGAAGGUUAAGGAGAGGGGUUAGCGUAAGCGAAGCUCUGAACUGAAGCCCCAGUAAACGGCGGCCGUAACUAUAACGGUCCUAAGGUAGCGAAAUUCCUUGUC
rnacentral:rRNA from 1 species